UUAAGCGACUAAGCGUACACGGUGGAUGCCCUGGCAGUCAGAGGCGAUGAAGGACGUGCUAAUCUGCGAUAAGCGUCGGUAAGGUGAUAUGAACCGUUAUAACCGGCGAUUUCCGAAUGGGGAAACCCAGUGUGUUUCGACACACUAUCAUUAACUGAAUCCAUAGGUUAAUGAGGCGAACCGGGGGAACUGAAACAUCUAAGUACCCCGAGGAAAAGAAAUCAACCGAGAUUCCCCCAGUAGCGGCGAGCGAACGGGGAGCAGCCCAGAGCCUGAAUCAGUGUGUGUGUUAGUGGAAGCGUCUGGAAAGGCGCGCGAUACAGGGUGACAGCCCCGUACACAAAAAUGCACAUGCUGUGAGCUCGAUGAGUAGGGCGGGACACGUGGUAUCCUGUCUGAAUAUGGGGGGACCAUCCUCCAAGGCUAAAUACUCCUGACUGACCGAUAGUGAACCAGUACCGUGAGGGAAAGGCGAAAAGAACCCCGGCGAGGGGAGUGAAAAAGAACCUGAAACCGUGUACGUACAAGCAGUGGGAGCCUCUUUUAUGGGGUGACUGCGUACCUUUUGUAUAAUGGGUCAGCGACUUAUAUUCUGUAGCAAGGUUAACCGAAUAGGGGAGCCGAAGGGAAACCGAGUCUUAACUGGGCGUUAAGUUGCAGGGUAUAGACCCGAAACCCGGUGAUCUAGCCAUGGGCAGGUUGAAGGUUGGGUAACACUAACUGGAGGACCGAACCGACUAAUGUUGAAAAAUUAGCGGAUGACUUGUGGCUGGGGGUGAAAGGCCAAUCAAACCGGGAGAUAGCUGGUUCUCCCCGAAAGCUAUUUAGGUAGCGCCUCGUGAAUUCAUCUCCGGGGGUAGAGCACUGUUUCGGCAAGGGGGUCAUCCCGACUUACCAACCCGAUGCAAACUGCGAAUACCGGAGAAUGUUAUCACGGGAGACACACGGCGGGUGCUAACGUCCGUCGUGAAGAGGGAAACAACCCAGACCGCCAGCUAAGGUCCCAAAGUCAUGGUUAAGUGGGAAACGAUGUGGGAAGGCCCAGACAGCCAGGAUGUUGGCUUAGAAGCAGCCAUCAUUUAAAGAAAGCGUAAUAGCUCACUGGUCGAGUCGGCCUGCGCGGAAGAUGUAACGGGGCUAAACCAUGCACCGAAGCUGCGGCAGCGACGCUUAUGCGUUGUUGGGUAGGGGAGCGUUCUGUAAGCCUGUGAAGGUGUGCUGUGAGGCAUGCUGGAGGUAUCAGAAGUGCGAAUGCUGACAUAAGUAACGAUAAAGCGGGUGAAAAGCCCGCUCGCCGGAAGACCAAGGGUUCCUGUCCAACGUUAAUCGGGGCAGGGUGAGUCGACCCCUAAGGCGAGGCCGAAAGGCGUAGUCGAUGGGAAACAGGUUAAUAUUCCUGUACUUGGUGUUACUGCGAAGGGGGGACGGAGAAGGCUAUGUUGGCCGGGCGACGGUUGUCCCGGUUUAAGCGUGUAGGCUGGUUUUCCAGGCAAAUCCGGAAAAUCAAGGCUGAGGCGUGAUGACGAGGCACUACGGUGCUGAAGCAACAAAUGCCCUGCUUCCAGGAAAAGCCUCUAAGCAUCAGGUAACAUCAAAUCGUACCCCAAACCGACACAGGUGGUCAGGUAGAGAAUACCAAGGCGCUUGAGAGAACUCGGGUGAAGGAACUAGGCAAAAUGGUGCCGUAACUUCGGGAGAAGGCACGCUGAUAUGUAGGUGAAGUCCCUCGCGGAUGGAGCUGAAAUCAGUCGAAGAUACCAGCUGGCUGCAACUGUUUAUUAAAAACACAGCACUGUGCAAACACGAAAGUGGACGUAUACGGUGUGACGCCUGCCCGGUGCCGGAAGGUUAAUUGAUGGGGUUAGCGGUAACGCGAAGCUCUUGAUCGAAGCCCCGGUAAACGGCGGCCGUAACUAUAACGGUCCUAAGGUAGCGAAAUUCCUUGUCGGGUAAGUUCCGACCUG
rnacentral:rRNA from 1 species